GGCUCCAGCACCGGCGUCACCAGCAGGCUGCGGCCCCACAGGAACUGCCUGUCCAGCCCGUACGUGGCCGUGUCCCGGGGAAACCUGCAGUGGGACGGAGACAACGCUCGCAUCGGCUGCUAUCUGCCAUCCAGCCAGUGACCCGAGUACCGGCCCUGGCUGGGGAAGGUGGAGCGGGAGAUGACGAAGGGGCGCUUCCCCCGGAUCUGGAUCAAGGCACUGGAAGGCAAUGUGGAAACCCAGGGCAGCAGCAACUUGAGAGCGCGCAGUACCUACCAGCACAGCCUGCAUUUCAGCGCCCUCCUUACCCGGCGUGUACGGGGGGCUGUCGAGCUCUCCUGGCGGGCAGCCCUCCUCAGACCCAUCCAUGAAGUUGGACGGC